AUUGAACGCUGGCGGCAGGCCUAACACAUGCAAGUCGAGCGGAGCGGCGGACGGGUGCGGAAUGCCUAGGAAUCUGCCUGGUCCUGGGGGAUAACGUCCGGAAACGGGCGCUAAUACCGCAUACUCUCAGAUGAGCAUAGGUCGGAUUAGCUAGUUGGUGGGGGAAGGGCCUACCAAGGCGACGAUCCGUAACUGGUCUGAGAGGAUGAUCAGUCACACUGGAACUGAGACACGGUCCAGACUCCUACGGGAGGCAGCAGUGGGGAAUAUUGGACAAUGGGCGAAAGCCUGAUCCAGCCAUGCCGCGUGUGUGAAGAAGGUCUUCGGAUUGUAAAGCACUUUAAGUUGGGAGGCGUUACCAACAGAAUAAGCACCGGCUAACUUCGUGCCAGCAGCCGCGGUAAUUC
rnacentral:rRNA from 1 species